rnacentral:rRNA from 1 species
CCGAUGCAAACUACGAAUACCGAAGAAUGUUAUCACGGGAGACACACGGCGGGUGCUAACGUCCGUCGUGAAGAGGGAAACAACCCAGACCGCCAGCUAAGGUCCCAAAGUCAUGGUUAAGUGGGAAACGAUGUGGGAAGGCACAGACAGCCAGGAUGUUGGCUUAGAAGCAGCCAUCAUUUAAAGAAAGCGUAAUAGCUCACUGGUCGAGUCGGCCUGCGCGGAAGAUGUAACGGGGCUAAACCAUGCACCGAAGCUGCGGCAGCGACACUAUGUGUUGUUGGGUAGGG